rnacentral:misc_RNA from 1 species
GUACCGGAGAAUUUUAUUACUACCCGAGGUUUCUAUAUGUCUAAUCCUGUGAAGCAUGAACUUGAUGGAGCCUUUGCAGCUCGUCUGGUUAGGUCUCAGUAAAUUGAGAACAAGGAGCAUUUUCCACAAAUUUUUAGUAUGUCGUGAAAAAGCAUCUUUAGGACAGAGAGCUCUUUUCCACAGACAACCAAGUUUUUGCUUUUAUGCCUUCCCUACAGCAUGAGAAUCCAGACCAUCUCUUUUCACAUAUUUCUCAGGUCGUUCAUGCAAAGCCUUAUAUGCAAUCCACUCUUCAAGUUUGAGAGCUCAAAGGCCAUCAUCAUAUGGUACAGCAACCAUACAAGUUAUAAGCAUACCGCAACAAGAUGAAAUAUCAUUUUAUAUGGCAUUCUAGUGUCCAGUUGCUGAAAGAUGGGAUGCAGAGGCAGCAGGCUUCCCCGCUGUAGAAAAG